rnacentral:misc_RNA from 1 species
AAAGCUGCAUGUAGUAAAAUAAGAAUAAUCAGACUCCACAGAGCAUUACACUUCUAAUAACAAUAACCCCUUUUUUUUUCUAGAAGGCAUAUAAGACUAGAGUCCAAAUCAAUGUUUUUGUAGUGAAAAACAACACAGAAUAACUUCAAAUUCCACAUUUUUAUUCAAACCCAAAUUUCAUUCACAUAUUGAACAGAAAUUGAACUUUUCAUGUGCAUGUGUAUAUAUAGGAUAUCAAUCUUUGGUUCAUUUUCAUCAAUGGCUAUACUAAGGAAGCCAAAUUGCUAUCUCCUUGUUUUGGCAGUGGUUUUUCUUUCAGGAUCUUUGUGUGUUGGAGCUGGAAAUGAGUAUACAUCAGCAGUGGGUGAUCCGGCCAUGAGGAGAGAUAGUCUAAGAUUGGCGAUAGAGUCAUGGAAUCAGUGCAAU